GCAUCAUUGGUCUAGUGGUAGAAUCCAUCGUUGCCAUCUGAUCUGACGAAUAAGUCGGUCACGUGAUCGAAAUUCGAUGGGGCCCGUGUUCGAUUCACGGAUGAUGCA